CCGAGAAGAAGAAGAACCAGACGAAGAAGAUGUGGACAUAUCUUCUUGGUUGACGUUCAGAAACACGAAGUUCGAAUUCAUUGUGGAAAAUGUGUUGGACGAAAGGAAAAGCGGUUUGACAUAAACUGGUUUGUGACUGGACUGGAAUGGUGACUCAGACAAGCAUCUGAACCCAAGCCCCGUCGAUCCAGCUGUGAGUCUCCAUUCCACUCCAACCUCCAGCCCAGCUGCUCAAGAGCCUCCUCAUGGGAACUCCUGACUCUCGCUCACCUGCCUGUCCACCCUCCAACACCGUCUACCUGAACACAGUGGAGCUACCCAAGAAACACACAGCAGGAACUAAAGAAUCUCACCACUCCAUUCCUCACUCUCUGCCAACCUCAGCCACCAUGGAAAAGACUUAUGCUUCCCCAACAAGUCUCCAACCUCAUCAUCCGUAAGUCAGCCUCAGAACCUCUCUGCUCUAUUCGCCAUUUCCUCCCUGGAGCCUCGGUAACCUCUCUCCUUCCUCAGUGGCAAUCCAGAUCCCUCCAGCAGAUCCAGUCUGGGUUCUGAUUCAUUGCAACCUGUGUUUUCUAAAUAAACUGUUAAAACAU